rnacentral:rRNA from 1 species
UACGGAGGGGGCUAGCGUUAUUCGGAAUUAUUGGGCGUAAAGGGCGCGUAGGCGGCCCGGUAAGUCAAAGGUGAAAUCCCUCGGCUCAACUGAGGAACUGCCUUUGAAACUGUCGGGCUUGAGGCCGGGAGGGGGUAGCGGAAUUCCCAGUGUAGCGGUGAAAUGCGUAGAUAUUGGGAGGAACACCGGUGGCGAAGGCGGGUCUCUGGGCCGAUACUGACGCUGAGGAGCGAAAGCGUGGGGAGCGAACAGG